rnacentral:rRNA from 1 species
CAUCCCGAACCCGGAAGUUAAGCGCUGUCGCGCCAAUGGUACUGCGUCUUAAGACGUGGGAGAGUAGGUCACCGCCAAAC